rnacentral:rRNA from 1 species
UACAGAGGUCCCAAGCGUUGUUCGGAUUCACUGGGCGUAAAGGGUGCGUAGGUGGUCAGGCAAGUCAGGUGUGAAAUCUCCGGGCUCAACCCGGAAAUGGCAUUCGAAACUACCUUGCUAGAGGGUUUGAGGGGGGACUGGAAUACUUGGUGUAGCAGUGAAAUGCGUAGACAUCAAGUGGAACACCAGUGGCGAAGGCGAGUCCCUGGAAAACUCCUGACACUGAGGCACGAAAGCUAGGGGAGCAAACAGG